UACGGGGGGGGGCAAGCGUUGUUCGGAAUUACUGGGCGUAAAGGGUGCGUAGGCGGCUUUGUAAGUCAGUGGUGAAAUAUGGCAGCUCAACUGUCAGGGUGCCAUUGAUACUGCGGAGCUUGAGUACAGAUGAGGUAGGCGGAAUUGACGGUGUAGCGGUGAAAUGCUUAGAUAUCGUCAAGAACACCGAUAGCGAAGGCAGCUUACUAGGCUGUAACUGACGCUGAGGCACGAAAGUGUGGGGAUCAAACAGG
rnacentral:rRNA from 1 species